AUGAACCAUCAGCCCCUUUUCCAACUUCUUGUUUUGUGUUGAGGUCAGCAACCUUGCUCUAGAUUUUAUUACAAUGAAAGCCUUUCUGGGAUUAGGAGUGCUGUGCCUUUUAGUAUACCUCAUGUGGGCUGAUAAUAGAAGAGUGACAGUGGCCUGUACACUUGACAUGUUCCUGGUGUCAGUGUAUAAAGAUCUGUUUGAUGAUGGUGUACUUCUGGAGCCUGAAGAACUGAUGCUUGGGUUCAAUUGUGGAGUUAACGGGGAGACGUUGGAUAGGUUUGAGCUAUGUUAUCCUGUAACAGAGUGUGAGAUUGAGUUUGAGUCUUAUGAAACACAUGUGAUCUAUAGAGUUAGUCUCUAUUAUAGCCCAAGGAAUCGCCUUUUGGGUCAUUUGGCAUAUGAUACUCCCUUGUCCUGCAUAGUGUUAAGGACUAAGACACCACAUUUACCAAAGUCAGAGGAGCAUGCUCCUGCCCUACUACCUCAGGAAGAAGAAGAAAGGGAUAUCAUGAGAAUGCAGCCUGAUUCCUCCCAUUGGUAUCAAGAAUCCUAUGAGUUCCUGGGGGAAACAAAGCACAGAGCCCCUUCUGAACAAGAGACUGAAUCUUGGAACUGGUUCUAUUUCUCCAUCUUGACUCUGAGCUCUCUAGUCUCCUGCUUUCCUUGCUACGGAGAUUUUGGGCUCUCUGUCUCCUGACAUAUUACCAAGGAAGCAGCCACAGGACAGCCAUUACCAGAGAAGUGUGUGAGCCUCACAAUUCUGGUUCUAACCUUUGGAAAGUUGUCAUUGUCUAAGCUUGCCUUCAUGAGUUUCUCAAUGUGUUUUUAACAUUCAUUUUUAAGCAAUAACUGUGCCAAUAUUGCCCCCUUCUUUUAUGAUCUUUGUAUACAAGGGAGGCUAUUUGGGUUUUAAAUAUAGAUUUUAAGAGCAUGUGUAUAUUAAACAUUGUAAUGUGUGUAUAACAUGGAUAUACACCCUAGGUUAUGUUUUUAUAUGUCAUCUCGGAUUUGUUGCCAAUUUAAUAAAUCUAGUGUGGAUACCUCA
rnacentral:lncRNA from 1 species